rnacentral:lncRNA from 1 species
GUGCAUGAUCUCAAGAAACUAACUUUCCAUUUAAAUGUGUAUAUAUAUAUGUAUAUUUAAGUCUAGAGAAUUAUUCUUUUUUUCAUUUGACAGGUCCUUACACUGCAAAAACAGUGUUUAUAUCCUAAAUUCUAAUCUAAGCACUUUUUCUGUGUACAUUUUGAAACACGUUUAGCAUCUAAACAUGUUUAGAUUUUAACAAGUGUUUAGAUUUCAACAAUUAUUAAAAUGUUAGAUGUUUAGAAAUAUAUGGUGUUUAGACCUUAGAACAGUUAGGCUACUAGUACUUUGAUUUCACAGGAACUACUUGGGGUACAGCACUACAGGUUGAAAAGUGCACUGUCAUGACUGUAUUGCAGAAUAUACAAUACACGUGUACAUUUUUGCUUAAAUGACCUUGCAAUGAUUUAUACCAUAAUUUUAUUUGUCAAUAUAGGACAUUGUAUAUUUUUUUAUAUAAAUAAGGCCGUUAUAGUAGUCUCAGAUAGCAUUCACAUUGUAAAACAAAAUGGAAUUCAUCUUCAGUAAUAUUCAAAGUACAAAGAGUACACUUUCGAUCUAACCUGAGACUACUAUAACGUUGUUUUCACGUUACAGUUUGUACGCCAAUGUCACUAAAACUCGCCCGAUUCGGACUAAGACCUGGGAUAAAUUGCCUCAGGGUGUACUGGGGUACUACAGGGUGUUAAAUGAACGUAUAAUAUAGUAGUCUCAGAUCUAACUUAUUUACUCAAUGAUAACGGCCU